rnacentral:tRNA from 1 species
GGUGGGUUCCCGAGCGGCCAAAGGGAGCAGACUGUAAAUCUGCCCGUCAUCGACUUCGAAGGUUCGAAUCCUUCCCCCACCACCA